AAUAGAUACCCUGGUAGUCCACGCCGUAAACGAUGAGUGCUAAGUGUUAGAGGGUUUCCGCCCUUUAGUGCUGCAGCUAACGCAUUAAGCACUCCGCCUGGGGAGUACGGUCGCAAGACUGAAACUCAAAGGAAUUGACGGGGGCCCGCACAAGCGGUGGAGCAUGUGGUUUAAUUCGAAGCAACGCGAAGAACCUUACCAGGUCUUGACAUCCUCUGACAACUCUAGAGAUAGAGCGUUCCCCUUCGGGGGACAGAGUGACAGGUGGUGCAUGGUUGUCGUCAGCUCGUGUCGUGAGAUGUUGGGUUAAGUCCCGCAACGAGCGCAACCCUUGAUCUUAGUUGCCAGCAUUCAGUUGGGCACUCUAAGGUGACUGCCGGUGACAAACCGGAGGAAGGUGGGGAUGACGUCAAAUCAUCAUGCCCCUUAUGACCUGGGCUACACACGUGCUACAAUGGAUGGUACAAAGGGCUGCAAGACCGCGAGGUCAAGCCAAUCCCAUAAAACCAUUCUCAGUUCGGAUUGGU
rnacentral:rRNA from 1 species